rnacentral:rRNA from 1 species
ACGAGAAUAAUUCACAAUGGGGGCAACCCUGAUGGUGCAACGCCGCGUGGAGGAUGACGGUCUUCGGAUUGUAAACUCCUGUCAUCCGGGAGUAAGACCUGGCCGUGAAGAGCGGACAGGGUUGAUAGUACCGGAAGAGGAAGGGACGGCUAACUUCGUGCCAGCAGCCGCGGUAAUACGAAGGUCCCGAGCGUUGUUCGGAAUCACUGGGCGUAAAGGGAGCGUAGGCGGCUUGGUAAGCCAGAUGUGAAAUCCCUGGGCUUAACCCAGGAAGUGCAUUUGAAACUGUUUGGCUUGAGUAAGGGAGAGGAAAGUGGAAUUCCUAGUGUAGCGGUAAAAUGCGUAGAUAUUAGGAGGAACACCGGUGGCGAAGGCGGCUGUCUGGACAGUAACUGACGCUGAGGCGCGAAAGCGUGGGGAGCAAACA